rnacentral:rRNA from 1 species
AAUCAACGCUGGCGGCGUGCCUAACACAUGCAAGUGGAGCGACGAACCGGGCUUCGGCCCGGGCAGAGCCGCGAACGGGUGAGUAACACGUGGGUAACCUGCCCUGAUGAUCGGGACAACCCGAGGAAACUCGGGCUAAUACCGAAUGUGCCCUCUGGCCUCAAGGCCUCUGGGGAAAGGAAGCUUCGGCCUCCGCAUCGGGAUGGGCCCGCGGCCCAUUAGCUUGUUGGUGAGGUAAAGGCNCACCAAGGCAACGAUGGGUAGCUGGUCUGAGAGGACGAUCAGCCACACUGGGACUGAGACACGGCCCAGACUCCUACGGGAGGCAGCAGUGGGGAAUCUUGCGCAAUGCGCGAAAGCGUGACGCAG